rnacentral:rRNA from 1 species
CCUACGGGGGGCAGCAGUGAGGAAUGUUGGUCAAUGGACGAGAGUCUGAACCAGCCAAGUAGCGUGAAGGAUGACUGCCCUAUGGGUUGUAAACUUCUUUUAUAUGGGAAUAAAAUGUUCCACGUGUGGGAUUUUGUAUGUACCAUAUGAAUAAGGAUCGGCUAACUCCGUGCCAGCAGCCGCGGUAAUACGGAGGAUCCGAGCGUUAUCCGGAUUUAUUGGGUUUAAAGGGAGCGUAGGUGGAUUGUUAAGUCAGUUGUGAAAGUUUGCGGCUCAACCGUAAAAUUGCAGUUGAAACUGGCAGUCUUGAGUACAGUAGAGGUGGGCGGAAUUCGUGGUGUAGCGGUGAAAUGCUUAGAUAUCACGAAGAACUCCGAUUGCGAAGGCAGUUCACUGGACUGCAACUGACACUGAGGCUCGAAAGUGUGGGUAUCAAACAGGAUUAGAUACCCGAGUAGUC